GACGAACCGUGCGAACGUUGUUCGGAAUCACUGGGCUUAAAGGGCGCGUAGGCGGGUCGGCAAGUCCGGGGUGAAAGCCCCCAGCUCAACUGGGGAAGGGCCUUGGAAACUGCCGGUCUCGAGGGAGGUAGGGGCCUGUGGAACUGCGAGUGUAGAGGUGAAAUUCAUAGAUAUUCGCAAGAACACCAGUGGCGAAGGCGGCUCACUGGCCCGGUACUGACGCUGAGGUGCGAAAGCGUGGGGAGCAAACAGG
rnacentral:rRNA from 1 species